UACAGAGGGAGCUAGCGUUAUUCGGAAUUACUGGGCGUAAAGCGCACGUAGGCGGCUUUGUAAGUUAGAGGUGAAAGCCUGGAGCUCAACUCCAGAAUUGCCUUUAAGACUGCAUCGCUUGAAUCCAGGAGAGGUUAGUGGAAUUCCGAGUGUAGAGGUGAAAUUCGUAGAUAUUCGGAAGAACACCAGUGGCGAAGGCGACUUACUGGACACAUAUUGACGCUGAGGUGCGAAAGCGUGGGGAGCAAACAGG
rnacentral:rRNA from 1 species